CCCUUAGGUGUUCUGGGCCGCACGCGCGCUACACUGAUGCAUUCAACGAGUCUAAAACCUGCUCUGAUAGGGGUGGGUAAUCUUUUGAAUGUGCAUCGUGAUUGGGAUAGAUGAUUGCAAUUUUUCAUCUUCAACGAGGAAUGCCUAGUAAACGCAAGUCAUCAGCUUGCAUUGAUUACGUCCCUGCCCUUUGUACACACCGCCCGUCGCUCCUACCGAUUGAAUGAUCCGAUGAAUAUCAUGGAUUGAGGAUGCAAGUAGGUUCGCCUAUCUUCAUCUUCGAGAAGUGAAGUAAAUCUUAUCAUUUAGAGGAAGGAGAAGUCGUAACA
rnacentral:rRNA from 1 species